AAAACUCACAAUAAUAAAUAAAGAGAAAUACAAAGAAACUACAAAUAUAAUAAAGACUAAAGAAGAAAAUAAGGCACAAGAACCAUCACAUACGUCACAACAACAACGAGUGUUGACUUUGUUCUUAGUGAGAGUGAGCUCUUGGACCAACCUGUCAAGAGUGUGACCUGUUUCAUGGCCACACUUGACAACCACUGGAGCCGCUGACCUCCUUUAACAACACAGACAUGAACUGAAGAACAAAUGGCAGUGGGAAGAGAAGCAGUAGACUGUGAGAACACUAUGUUGGGUGCAGGUGUAAACAACAGUGGACAUAGACAAAGUAUUACCAACUGAACCAAAGAAUUACAAGUAGACAAGAAAUUAUUCUUCCUUGUGGAAAUAUGUUUUGAAAUAAUUCAAAACUUGUGUAUAGAUUCACCCCCUCAUAAGACUUUUGUCACGUGUAGUAAAAGUUUACCAGCCAUCACAAGUACAGUAGUAUAUCAGCCUGAGUAUUAUUGUUUACCAGCCAUCACAAGUACAGUAGUAUAUCAACCUGAGUAUUAGUGUUUACCAGCCAUCACAAGUACAGUAGUAUAUCAGCCUGAGUAUUAUUGUUUACUGUACAUCAGAGGAACUGUACAUAUAACAAUAGUGUACAAUAUAUAAUUUUUGUACACUUCCCUGUUGAGUGUUUUUAUAGUGUAUGUUGUAAGUCAUAAACAGUGUUUGUUAAUGACAAGUAUAGUUAUAUGUGUAACUCAUUCUUUACACCAUUUUUCACAUUUAGUUCAAAGAGGUAUAGAGGAACCUUGUUAAUAAUGGUGUAGUCACAUCACAAACUGGAUCUUCCAUCACACUUACCUCCUCACUGUCCUCCCAUCUCAGCAUCAUUACAUCAGUGUCAGUAAAUCACAUUCACUAAUUGAUUUAUGUUUCAGUUUUCAUUGUCAAAUAUAAUUAACAGUAACAAGACAUUAAUAGUUCUUGUAGGAGGAAACAGUUUGCCAGUUAAGUGUCACUAAAACCUUUGAACACACAAUACACACAGUUUUAUAAUGGAAGGUCACUCAGAGGAACAGUCGGAGUCUCCCACAGAAUUGUCUGUAAAAUCACAUCAAGUAACACAUGUGAAAGAACACCAGUUAAGUGUCACUAAAACCUUUGAACACACAAUACACAGUUUUAUAAUGGAAGGUCACUCAGUCGAACAGUCAGAGCCUCCCAGAGACUUGUGUGUAAAAUCACAUCAAGUAACACAUGUGAAA